rnacentral:tRNA from 1 species
GCGCGCUUAGCUCAGUGGUAGAGCACUUCCUUCACACGGAAGGGGUCCAAGGUUCGAACCCUUGAGCGCGCACCA